CUCUCUCUCUCUCUCUCUUCCCUUCUCCCCCCUGCGUUCUCUCUCCGAACGUCUAAACCCCCCACCGCCCCACACUCCUCCCCAUCCCCGAAACACGCACAAGAACACCCACCCAGGCAUUCACCCCGAUGCGGCUGCAAAGGCCGGCGACGACGCCGACGCCGACGCCGACGCCGACGCCGGCGAGGACAUCCCAAACGAUGCCGCACACGCCCUUGAUCCUUCACCCUCAGCCCUCGCUUCUCGACAGCCAGUGAUAAUCACUGGCGGCAGUCACCCUCUCCAACAGGUGCUUUCCUUCCCACUGAUCUCCGGAAAAGAGAGAAAUGGAAAAAGAACGUAAAAGGAAAAAGAAUUGAUCAAUCUAUGGGAAAAGUCUUAAGAGUCUCGAUCAGAGCGGCCAAUAGGGAAGUUUAGAUCCAUUCUCAAGAGUCUCAAUUGGGUGGGAGGUUUGGAGCAAUCAAGGUUCUUUGUUGGAAUAUCUUAAACUGCUCGUUCUAGUCUAGAAUUAACCUUGUGAGUUGUGACGGUAGAUAUAAUGCCCCCUCUGAAACCUCCACUUCCACGCAUGCUCAUAAACAAUGUCUCCUGCAUGCGUAAUGCUCAGACUGUCCUCCGCAAUAUUAAUGUCUCUGUGCAUGAUGGCUCUGCUCUUGUAUUGACUGGUGCUAAUGGCUCUGGGAAGACAACCUUCCUUCGCAUGCUAGCUGGAUUCUCCCGCCCUUCUGCUGGCGAGAUCUUUUGGGAUGGGCAUGACAUCACAUCUCCUGGAGUAUUCCAACAAUACAAGCUUCAACUUAACUGGCUGUCGUUAAAAGAUGCCAUAGUGGAUAAGCAAACUGUGUUAGACAAUGUUGAGUGGUUUGAAGUCUUGGAAGGGAAAUGCGGGAAAGCAAUGGGGGCUCUUGAGCUCAUGGGGUUAGGUAGGCUUGCAAAUGAGAAGGCAAGAAUGCUUUCUAUGGGGCAGAGGAAGCGGUUGCAGUUGGCUAGAUUGCUGGCCAUAGAUAGGCCCAUUUGGUUGCUUGAUGAGCCUUCAGUUGCAUUGGAUGAUGAAGGAGUCCGCCUGUUGGAGUAUAUAAUCGCAGAGCACCGGAAGAAAGGUGGAAUUGUUUUUGUGGCAACCCACCUACCAAUCCAGAUCGAGGAUGCUAUGUCUUUGAGGCUCCCGCAAAGGUUCCCAAGGAGGAAAACUUUAGUUGAUCUGGUCCGCUGAUUAUGUGCAGAAACUGAAAACAUCAAAAAGAAUAAAAAAAUUGUCGGUGUUGAUCAAUAGUUGAGGCUGGUUUCACGUCAGAAUGGAUCUCUUGAUGAGGAAGAAGAUUGGUGGGGACCAUGAAGGUGCUGAUGGCUUGUAUUACUUAGAUGUUCCAAGAUCAAGAGCUCUUUCAUCUGUGGUGAGGCAUUUUUGGCUUGGGCAUCCAUCUCUUCAAAAACUACAUCAAAUUGUUCCUCUUAGUCAGUCGUCGGUCUUGUUUAAUUGUGAGGCUUGUCAGCUUGGAAAAUACCAUAGGUCAAUGUUUCCAAGGAGGGUCCAUAAAACUAGUACAAGGUUAUUUGAGUUGGUUCACUCUGAUAUUUGGGAUCUUUCUAGAGUUAAGAGUCCUACUGGUCAUAGAUAUUUUGUGAUCUUUAUUGAUGAAUUUUCUUGUACCACCUGGGUGUUUCUGUUAAAGCAAUGAUCUGAGGUUUUGUCUGUCUUCAAAAAUUUUUAUAAGAAAAUAAAGAUGCAGUUUUCUAUUGAUAUUUGUUCUAUUUGCACAGACAAUGCUCUUGAGUUUGUCCAAUAGGAAUUAAAUGCAUUUUGUGCCUCAAAUGGGAUUCAACACCAAACUUCUUGUGCGUACACUCAACAAAAUGAGGUAGCUGAGUGCGAAAAUCGUCAUCUUCUUGAUAUUGCUCGCACCAUUCUUUUUCAUAUGCAUGUACCUAAAACAUAUUGGGGAGAUGCUGUUUUGACUGCUUGCUUUCUUAUUAACUAUAUGCCAUCUUCAAUACUCCAAAAUAAAACUUUCAUCCAAUUUCUAUAUCCACAUCGUCCAUUAUUUCCUUUGCCUUCUCAUACAUUUGGAUGUGUAGUUUUUGUCCAUGAUCUUCAAUCAGGCUUGGACAAACUAUCUCUCAGAGCCAUCAAAUGUGUUUUCUUUGGCUAUGCUAGAAAUCAGAAGGGGUACAGAUGCUUUGAUCCUGUGAGUCAUAAGGUAUUUGUCAGUGUUGAUGUCACAUUCUUUGAGGAGCAGCCUUAUUUUUCAUCUAUAUGAGAAUCUUUAAUGAGUUACUGGUUCCAUCAACAUCUAUCCCUGCUCCGGUGUUUCCUUCCACUUCAAAAGAGCCUGUAGUUAUGCUUGCUACUAUUUCUCCACCACCUCUGAAGGUGUAUACUCGACGUCCAUGGAAUCAGGUCCUAGCACUUUCACCACCACCUUCGCCCUUGGAAAGUGGUCCAAUAUCUUCACCGUCUGCAUUAGAUUUGCAUCUUUCCAUUGCCAUAUGGAAGGGAAUGUAGAGGAGGUACUAUCUCACCUUGGUUGGCGACAUGCAAUGCAAGAGAAAAUAUCUGCCUUAAAGAGCAGAGGCACUUGGGAGUGGGUCUCUCCACCAGCUGAUAAUGAGGUCGUUGGAUGUCGUUGGUUUUUCUCCAUCAAGUAUCUGCACGAUGGCACUAUUGAAAGGCUUAAGGCAUGAUUGGUUGUAUAAGGAUAUUCUCAGACAUAUGGUAUUGAUUAUUCUCUCCUGUGGUACGUCUCAGCUCCAUCCGAAUUUUAAUUUCUAUUGCUGUCAACAUGGAAUGGCCGCUAUAUUAACUUGAUGUGAAAAAUGCCUUCCUCUACAGCGAUCUUGAAGAGACGGUGUGUAUGGAGCAACCUUUGGGGUUUGUUGCUUAGGGAGAGAGUUCUAGAGUAUGUCGCCUGAGGAAAGCAAUAUAUGGGUUGAAGCAGACUCUGAGGGCUUGGUUUUAGAAGUUUAGUCAAAUUGUUUGUCAAUUUGGCUUUGUCAGAACUCGUGGACCAUUCGGUGUUUAUUAUGCACACCUCUAUUGGAGUGGUCAUCCUAGUUAUCUCCGUGGAUGACAUUAUUAUCUUAAGCAAUGACCAAGCUGGCAUAAAGGCAACUAAAAGGCACUUGAAACAACAUUUUGCGACCAAAGACUUGGGUCGGUUGAGGUACUUGGAAUAGAGGUGGCUCGAAAUCAUCAAGGACUUGUACUUUCUCAAAGAGUAUGCUCUUGAUCUACUACAAGAGACGGGCAUGCUUGAUGCUCGACUAGCAAAUGUUCCUCUGGACCAAACAGGAGCGCUCUGGAAAGAGGAUUCUAAAGAGCUAUCAGACAAGACUGCGUAUAGGAGAUUGGUUGGUGAGCUUAUUUACUUGAUAGUUAUCUGAUCUGAUAUUUUAUUUGCAGUUGUUGUCAGUUUAUGGACAAGCCUAAGAAGUACCAUUGGGAAGUUGCAUGUGGCAUUCUUAGGUACGUUAAAAAGGCUCCCGGACUUGGAAUGUUUUACAAAAAGAAUAACCAUACUAAUGUAGUUGGUUAUUUUGAUGUUGAUUAUGCUGGUUCAAAGAUAGACAGACGAUCAACUUCUGAUUAUUGUAUAUUUGUUGGAGAAAAUCCUGUGACUUGGGGGAGUAAGAAGCAAGAUGUAGUGGCUAAAUCUAGUGCAGAAACAGAGUAUCGAGCUAUGGCUCAUACUGCUUACGAGUUAAUCUGAGUGCAUUCCUUGAUAACGGAGUUUGGAUUUCAGCAUGAUAAAUCCAUUCCUAUGUAUUGUGAUAAUCAAGCAGUCAUUUUCAUUGCUAACAAUCCAGUAUUUCAUGAAUGGACAAAACACAUAGAGGUUGAUUGUCAUUUCAUCAAAAA